AUAGCGUAUAUUUAAGUUGUUGCAGUUAAAAAGCUCGUAGUUGGAUUUCGGGCGGGGCCUGCCGGUCCGCCUUUGGUGUGCACUGGCAUGGGCUCGCCUCGCUGGCGGGGACGGGCUCCUGGGCUUAACUGUCCGGGACUCGGAGUCGCCGAGGUUACUUUGAGUAAAUUAGAGUGUUCAAAGCAGGCCUACGCUCUGAAUACGUUAGCAUGGAAUAACACGAUAGGACUCUGGCCUAUCUUGUUGGUCUGUGGGACCGGAGUAAUGAUUAAGAGGGACGGUCGGGGGCAUUCGUAUUUCAUUGUCAGAGGUGAAAUUCUUGGAUCGCCGUAAGACGAACUACUG
rnacentral:rRNA from 1 species